CAAAAGAAAAAAGCAUGCUAUAUUAAAUUGAAGAAGAGUUGUGACAGCACUUAAAAAAAAACGGGCCCAGCUUGGGAGAUGCAAUGUCCACCAACACAUCAAACUUUCAUUCACAAGCAUGCUGCAGCAGUGAGGAGGUGCACACGGGUUGGCUGGAAUUAAAGUNCAGUUGAAGCAUCUCANAUGAUCUUGCAUGCCANGGCNUGCACCNAUUUUCCAAUUAACACANUCCUUCACUUGAGCUCCACACGAACACUUUCUUUGGGUUGGAGAAGAAGAAAUCGAGNAGCUUGGUUGCAGCACCACCUCUACACGNACAGAAACACUUCUCGGUCCAGCCUUUNACGUUNAACAUGUUCAUCCCG
rnacentral:lncRNA from 1 species